CCUACGGGUGGCAGCAGUGAGGAAUAUUGGUCAAUGGGCGAAAGCCUGAACCAGCCAAGUAGCGUGAAGGAUGACUGCCCUACGGGUUGUAAACUUCUUUUAUAAAGGAAUAAAGUGAGGCACGUGUGCCUUUUUGUAUGUCCUUUAUGACUAAGGAUCGGCUAACUCCGUGCCAGCAGCCGCGGUAAUACGGGGGAUCCGAGCGUUCUCCGGAUUUAUUGGGUUUAAAGGGAGCGUAGAUGGGUUGUUAAGUCAGUUGUGAAAGUUUGCUGCUCACCCGUAAAAAUGCAAUGGAUACUGGCAGUCUUGAGUACAGUUGAGGUAGGCGGAAUUCGUGGUGUAGCGGUGAAAUGCUUAGAUAUCACGAAGAACUCCGAGUGCGAAGGCAGCUUACUAAACUGUCACUGACAUUGAUGCUCGAAAGUGUGGGUAUCAAACAGGAGUAGAUACCCGUGUAGUC
rnacentral:rRNA from 1 species